AUCUAUAACAGAUAAUAGCAUAAUGUUAUAGUUCCCAACUGAUUACAUCAUGCUGCUAAUGGAUAUGAAUGAAGUUAAAAUCAAUAUCUCCACACCUUAUGAUAAUUCAAAGAAGUUCCGAAGGAUCAAACAUGGUUUACGAGUCGACAUAAAUAUACUCCAAUAUUUCCAUCCUAUGGGAUUUAAAAUCAAGUUUUGAACACACUGGAUACUACAGGGCAGAUGAACAGAUAAAGGGAGGAACGCCACAAAAUGAAGAUGCAUGAAAGAAAGCAACAUGAUUUGGGGACAUACAGUUGUAGAUUUGAGUUUACCCAUGAGGGAAAUCUUCCUGUAAGAUUAUUGUAAGAUAAAUCUCUGCAAAAAAUAAGUGAAUGCAUCAGUACUAGUAAUAGAGUGGAAAAGAGGCGACCAUUUGAACU